rnacentral:rRNA from 1 species
AAUUUAUCCGCAGCGAAUUCGCCCUUACAGCUAUCUUGUUACGACUUAGCCCCAGUCACCAGUUUUACCUUAAGGCGCUCCUUGCGGUUGCACACUUCAAGCACUCCCGGCUUCCAUGGCUUGACGGGCGGUGUGUACAAAGCCCGGGAACGUAUUCACCGCGCCAUGGCUGAUGCGCGAUUACUAGCGAAUCCAGCUUCAUGGAGUCGAGUUGCAGACUCCAAUCCGAACUGAGACAGGCUUUCAAGUUCCGCUUUGCGUCGCCGCAUUGCUUCUCUCUGUACCUGCCAUUGUAACACGUGUGUCGCCCCGGACGUAAAGGCCGUGCUGAUUUGACGUCAUCCCCGCCUUCCUCACAGCUUGCGCCGGCAGUCUCGCCAGAGUCCCCAACUUGACUUGCUGGUAACUGGCGAUGGGGGUUGCGCUCGUUAUGGCACUUAAGCCGACACCUCACGGCACGAGCUGACGACAACCAUGCAGCACCUCGACACAAGCUCCAAAGAGCUACCUCCUUUCAAAAGUAUUCCUGUGUCGUUUGAACCCAGGUAAAGUUCCUCGCGUAUCAUCAAAUUAA